rnacentral:ncRNA from 13 species
GUCAGGAUGGCCGAGCGGUCUAAGGCGCCAGACUCAAGGUGUUCACCUUAUCAGUUACUAACUGAUCUCCACGUGCCUUCUGGUCUCCUCUGGAGGCGUGGGUUCGAAUCCCACUCCUGACA